CCUACGGGUGGCUGCAGUAGGGAAUAUUGCGCAAUGGGCGCAACCCUGACCCAGCAACGCCGCGUGGAGGAUGAAGGCUUUAGGAUUGUAAACUUCUUUUGUGAGAGAAGAUCAUGAGGCUAUACCUCUUAAAUAAGCCACGUCUAACUGCGUGCCAGCAGCCGCGGUUAUACGUAGGGCGCAAGCGUUGUCCGGAUUUACUGGGUGUAAAGUGCGUGCAGGCGGGAAGACAAGUCAGAUGUGAAAUCCCGUGGCUUAACCGCGGAACUGCAUUUGAAACUGUUUGUCUUGAGUGGGGGAGAGGUAGGUGGAAUUCUUGGUGUAGCGGUGAAAUGCGUAGAUAUAAGGAAGAAUACUCGUGGCGAAGGCGGACGACUGGAACGCAACUGACGGUGAGGCGCGAAAGCGUGGGGAGCAAACAGGAUUAGAUACCCUAGUAGUC
rnacentral:rRNA from 1 species